UAGAAGGUAGUAUAGAGGUCGUAUUAAGAGUUUUGGGCUCUUAGGUUCAAGUUCGAUUCUUGACUUUCUAGU
rnacentral:tRNA from 1 species